ensembl:lncRNA
CCCUUAUAUAACUUCACCCUGGAUAAGAUUUAACGUAGAACUGACAUGGAAGCCCAUGCCUAUAAUCAGCUUCUUAGGAGGCUGAGGAAGAGGAUUGUAAGUUCAAGUGCAACCUGGGCAACUUAGCAAUACCCUGUCUCCAAAAGAGGUAAGAACGGAGCCCAGUUAUUUUUAUAGCAUGAAAAGAUUGGAGUUUGUUGGAGAGAGUGUAAUGGUUUGUGUUUAAAUGUCCUCCUAAACGCUCCUGUAGAUGAGGUGGGACUUUCUUUUUCAGAGGUAGUUGAAUCUCGAAUGUGUUAUGCUGGGGUUAAGGGCGCGUGAUUACUAAACCACUACAUGUGAGUGAUUAGUUUGGCACCGCCCUAAUCCCCGGUAGUCUGAAUAAGAUAAAAAGAUGCUGUUAAACUUCCCUUGUUCCUUUUGCUACCUUGUACGCGCCAUGUUGUUUCUGCUCUGCGAGGCCUGUUUGUCAUCCCUGUCGUGGAGCCAGCCAACUGUGGACUGAAACCUCUACAAACUGACAAGAAUUAGAAAAGUGGUUACAACCUGGAAGACCUUCCAGUGCCCCUCCCUGACAUGGAUUUCCCUCUCCCCACCAGAGGCUGGUGCAUACGUGCAAGAAUGUCUCCUAAUGUACCCCCAGGAGUGGAUCUGCAGUACUUGAGACUUCCUUUGUUCUCUGUCCUUGUCACCUUGAGUUCUUUUCCAUACAGAUGCCAAUACCUGGGGGCACUGGACAAAGUACUGGGGAGUGCUCUAUGACACAUAGAAAUUUAAAACAGUAUCCUUCAUCAAAAAGUUGAAUGUAGAGUAAUCAUGCGACCUUGAAAUUCCACUCCUAGGUAUGUGCCAAAAGAAUUUGGAAACAUAUGUUCACACAAAAACUUAUACAACAAUUUUCACAACAGCAUUAUUCAUAACAGCCAAAAAGUGGAAACAACCCAAAUGGCCAUGGACUAAUGAAUGGCUAAACAAAAUGUGAUCUGCCCACACAAUAGAACAUUAUUCAGCCAUACAAAGGAAUGAAACACUAACAUGCUACAAUAUGGAUAUAUUUUGAAAACAUGAUGCUAAGCGAAAGGAGCCAGACAUAGGAAGCAAUGUGAUUCCACUUAUACAAAAUGUCCAAAGCCAGAAGUGGUGGCACACACUUGUAAUCACAGCACUCUGGGAAGCUGAGGCAGAGAACUGCAAGUUCAAGCCUAGCCUGGGCAAUUUAAUGACUUAGAACUUGUCAAGAAGAGAAGAAAGAGGGGGAGGGGAGGGGAAGAGAGGGAAGGGGAAGGUCUAGAACAGGCAGAUCCGGUGGAGAUAGAAAGUAGAUUAGAUUGCCAGGGGCUGAGGAAGGGAGAAAUGGGCCAUGGCUUCUAACGAGUAUGGGGAUUCCUUUAUGAGGUCAUGAAAAUGGUCUCAUAAGUUUGUGACUAUACCGGAAAUGCGUGAAAUUGUAUUCUUAUGUGAAUUUUAUCAUAUGUGAAUUAUAUCUUCAUUAAAAUGUAAAUAAAAA